CACGUAGGGGGCAAGCGUUGUCCGGAUUUAUUGGGCGUAAAGAGCUCGUAGGCGGUUUCGUAAGUCGGGUGUGAAAACUCUAGGCUCAACCUAGAGACGCCACCCGAUACUGCGAUGACUAGGGUCCGGUAGGGGAGUGUGGAAUUCCUGGUGUAGCGGUGAAAUGCGCAGAUAUCAGGAGGAACACCAAUUGCGAAGGCAGCUCGCUGGGACGUUACUGACGCUGAGACGCGAAAGCGUGGGGAGCAAACAGG
rnacentral:rRNA from 1 species